GUGCUCGCUUCGGCAGCACAUAUACUAAAAUUGGAACGAUACAGAGAAGAUUAGCAUGGCCCCAGCGCAAGGAAGAUAUUUUAGAAAUCAAAGCUUCUUUUGUAUUU